UAGGGGGCGAGCGUUAUCCGGAUUUAUUGGGCGUAAAGCGUGUGUAGGCGGUUUAUUAAGUCUAAGAUCAAAGCCCGAGGCUCAACCUCGGUUCGUCUUAGAAACUGGUAGACUUGAGUGCAGUAGAGGCAAGUGGAAUUUCUAGUGUAGCGGUUAAAUGCGUAGAUAUUAGAAGGAACACCAGUGGCGAAGGCGGCUUGCUGGGCUGUUACUGACGCUGAGACACGAAAGCGUGGGGAGCAAA
rnacentral:rRNA from 1 species